UGCACCUUUGGCAGCAAUUACAGCCUCAAGUCUUGUUGAAUAUGAUGCCACAAGCUUGGCACACUUAUCCUUGGCCAGUUUCGCCCAUUCCUCUUUGCAGCACCUCUCAAGCUCCAUCAGGUUGGAUGGGAAGCGUCGCUGCACAGCCAUUUUAAGAUCUCUCCAGAGAUGUUCAAUUGGAUUCAAGUCUGGGCUCUGGCUGGGCCACUCAAGGACAUUCACAGAGUUGUCCUGAAGCCACUCCUUUGAUAUCUUGGCUGUGUGCUUAGGGUCGUUGUCCUGCUGAAAGAUGAACCGUCGCCCCAGUCUGAGGUCAAGAGCGCUCUGGAGCAGGUUUUCAUCCAGGAUAUCUCUGUACAUUGCUGCAGUCAUCUUUCCCUUUAUCCUGACUAGUCUCCCAG